CGCAGAGAGAGCUCUGCUUUCUCGAGCGAGUGGCGAACGGGUGAGUAACGCGUGAGGAACCUGCCUCAAAGAGGGGGACAACAGUUGGAAACGACUGCUAAUACCGCAUAAGCCCACGGCUCGGCAUCGAGCAGGGGGAAAAGGAGCAAUCCGCUUUGAGAUGGCCUCGCGUCCGAUUAGCUAGUUGGUGAGGUAACGGCCCACCAAGGCAACGAUCGGUAGCCGGACUGAGAGGUUGAACGGCCACAUUGGGACUGAGACACGGCCCAGACUCCUACGGGAGGCAGCAGUGGGGAAUAUUGCACAAUGGGGGAAACCCUGAUGCAGCGACGCCGCGUGGAGGAAGAAGGUCUUCGGAUUGUAAACUCCUGUUGUUGGGGAAGAUAAUGACGGUACCCAACAAGGAAGUGACGGCUAACUACGUGCCAGCAGCCGCGGUAAAACGUAGGUCACAAGCGUUGUCCGGAAUUACUGGGUGUAAAGGGAGCGCAGGCGGGAAGACAAGUUGGAAGUGAAAUCUAUGGGCUCAACCCAUAAACUGCUUUCAAAACUGUUUUUCUUGAGUAGUGCAGAGGUAGACGGAAUUCCCGGUGUAGCGGUGGAAUGCGUAGAUAUCGGGAGGAACACCAGUGGCGAAGGCGGCCUACUGGGCACCAACUGACGCUGAGGCUCGAAAGUGUGGGUAGCAAACAGGAUUAGAUACCCUGGUAGUCCACGCCGUACACGAUGAUUACUAGGUGUUGGAGGAUUGACUC
rnacentral:rRNA from 1 species